AUUGAACGCUGGCGGAAUGCUUUACACAUGCAAGUCGAACGGCAGCACGGGGGCAUCCCUUGUGGCGAGUUGCGAACGGGUGAGUAAUACAUCGGUACGUGCCCUGUCUUUGGGGCUAACGUAGCUACAGUUACGCUAAUCUCGCAUCCGAUCUUAUGUUGAAAGCGGUGGAUCUUCAGUCCUCGCGCGUUCUGCUCUCCCUUUUUCAGAUUAGGUAGUUGGUUGGGUAAAGGCCUAACAAGCCGACGAUCUGUAGCUGGUCUGAGAGGACGACCAGCCACACUGGGACUGAGACACGGCCCAGACUCCUACGGGAGGCAGCAGUGGGGAAUUUUGGACAAUGGGCGAAAGCCUGAUGCAGCAAUGCCGCGUGAAGGACGAAGGCCUUCGGAUUGUAAAAUGCUUUUGUAAGGAAAGAAAAGAGUCGGGAUAAUACCUGGGGAUCAUGACGGUACCGAAAGAAUAAGCACCGGCUAACUACGUG
rnacentral:rRNA from 1 species